UGGACUUUGAGGUCUCAGAAGUUCAAGGUAGUCCCAGCGUCACUCACUCUUCCUUCUGCCUGCUGAGCUAGAUUACCUCUUGUAUUCUUAUCUAGCACCGUGUCUGCCCGUGUGCUGCCAUGUUUCCAGCCAUGACAAUGGACUAAGCCUCUGAAACUGUAAGCCAGCCUCAGUUCACAAUAUUUCCUUAUUAAGAGUUGCCAUGGUCAUGGUAUCUCUUCACAGCACUAAAACCCCAACACUGAUGAUGAUGACGGUAAUGUCCCACUACAAUCAUAAAUAACCAAUUUCUUGGUUUUAGUACCAAAAUUUCUAUAUUCCUGGAAACUCGUCAGCUUCAGGCCAAACAAUGGAUGGUUACAUACUGUCAAUCUGAGACAAGGUUAUCCAAAGGCAUCCUACAGAGUAGAGGCUUGCUAAGAGCCAGGAGGCUGGCUAAUGGUAGAUAGUUAAUUAAGGACAUGGUUCAACAGUGGGUACAGUUAGUUAGGAGCGACAUAGCUAUUGAAGUUAAUGGUAGAAUCUGGGCUCAGUAACACUGAAUGCUGGAGAAUCCAGCACUCUGAGGUUGAGGAGAUGGCUUAGUGGUUAAGAUGCUUGCUGUACAAAUAGAAGGAUUGGAGUUUGAGUUCCCCAAUCCCAUAUACAUGGUGGACAUGGCAGAGAUAGGGGAUUCCCCAGAGCCAGUUGGUUAGCUAGAGUAGCCACAUUGUUUGACUGAGAGAACUUGCCUCCAUGAAUAAGGUUAUAGAGCCAUAGAGGAUGACCCUGACACCAACCUGGGGCCACCACAUGCACGGGCACCCCCACAUAUGCCUACGUGAGCAAGCAUACAUAUAAAAAUGGAAAAAUAGAUAAAAGUGAACUCCCCACCCCCUGCAAAGAACCCUGAACCUCAUUCCCCACUCCACAUCAUAUGAACUCUAAGAGAUGAGGUAGCUGCUGUUCAACCCUGUGUUUAUGGCAGGAAUCUUGGCUCUGGUAUAGCUAAAUACCCUUCCCAAGGUCACACUGUGAGUUAGUUUUGUGCUUCCCACGGAUGAGAGUCAGAAUAGAUUUAUGCCACAGCAGGGACCCAUUAGGAGAUCUGCCAGUUGGCUUAGGAUCAUGGCUGGCAUCUCCUGGAGGAGGAGGCUGGCUGGCACAGGCCAAUGGGUAUCUGGGGCUGGGGGCUGCUUCUUAGAAUUUAUAUACACAGUAGUAGUAGUAGUAGUAGUAGUAGUAGCAGCAGCAGCAGCAGCAGUGGCGGCGGCAGCAGUAGCCUGGGGCAAAACAACCUAAACAAACUUUUUGAGGAUGCUUUGGACUUAAUCCCAGCAGCUUGCCUACAUCUUUGGGAUUCUAGAAUAUACUGAAGACCAAUUGAGACAUCCAGCCCAAUGGACUGAACAACUGCUAGAUUCUUGGAACUUCCAUUGGAUUCUUGGACCUUCCAUUGGUAAAUAGCCAUUGUUGUGCUAGGUGAACCAUAGCCUAUAGGGCAUUUUAAUAAGUCCCCUUACACACACACACGCACACACACACACACACACACACACACACACACACACACACACACACACAAUCAUUCUAUCUGUUCAGUUCCUCUAGAAAACCCUGACUAAUACAAUAAUGUACUUUGAAGUUGAGAGCAUCUUUGGGAAAAUGGUCAAUAGUUCUGCCAGGGGUGGGGGUGGGAAUAUAGUUUGCUUUGAUUAAUGACAGCUGUUAGGAAAGCCACUCAUUUCUACAGCAUGAACUGAGGCCAGUGGGGUAUGGCCCCUCUUUAAGGCAAGUCCUUGUAGUAUUGAAUAGGAAUAGCCAUUCUUGAAAGCUGUGGUGUCAAAGCAAAUGAAAUCUACACCUAUGUCUCAGACCAGCAGCCUGGAUCACGUGGGUGCUGAUAAACUCAUGAAUUGUAGCUCCUUCCACAGCUCUCAUGUUGGAGUCUGCCUUCCAGCCAGAUUACCCGGUUAGCCACAUGCAGGGUGAAGCCUGAAUAACAAUUCUGUUUCAGCAGAGAUGUUCAAGGGGGUGAGCUGUGGACAGCUGGUGUGCUGGCUAGUUUUUGUCAGCUUGGUAUACACUAAAGACACUUAAGAAGAGGGAAACUUCAUUGAGGAAUUGCCUACAUCAGAUUGGCCCGUGGUCAUGUCCAAGGCAUUUAAAAUGAUGAACUUGAGAGGGCCCAGAUCACUGUGGAUAUUGCCAAUGCUGGGCACCUGGUCCUGGGAUAUAGAAGAAAGCAGAUUGAACAAGCCAAGAGGAUCCAGGCCAGUAAACAGCAGUGCUGUGGGCUCUGCUUCAGUUCCUGCCUCGACUUCCUUCAGCGAUGGACUAACUUUGACAUGGAAAUGUCUGGGCAGUUUCCUGGAGUGUGGUGCUUUAAGCACUGGAAAUGGGACGACUGGCUGAUCACUCUGUUACAUCCAGACUCUAAGCAUGUCCACUUGUGACUUGAUUGCCAUAGUCAGGGUACUGAGCACAUAUUUUGCACAAAUCACUGAUGAUAUAUGGCCUGAAUCCCAGGUCUAGCUUCUUCUCUCCCCUGUAGUGCCUAGGGACAGUGGCCAAGUUCCUCUGCUCUGAAAAUAUUUAUCUGUGAGGCCAGAGAUGUCCAGUCUUUUAACAGCUUGACAUAAUGCUGUUGUGAACAGAUGUCACGGGCUGUUUUCAUGAUUAUUCUGGGAUGCUUGUAGCCUCUAGCCAGGAGGUUAGACAUGCCUGUGUAAGGUGUUAAGUCAGACAGCAUGCAAGUAGACCAGCAUCUAUCCUCCGAGCAUUUCUGAAGUUCAUUUGAGGUAUAAGUCAGUUGAAGUUGGAGUGAUAGAAGGUAAAACCCACCAAGGUUCAGUGUCAACACAUCAGGUGUUCAUCUGACCUUGGGCAAACCACUUCAUCUGUCUGGUCCUGGGUGUCCUCACCUGUACUCCAAAUGGGAGAGGGAAGGCUGGGGGAAAAUGUCCAGUGCAGGGACCCACCUGUUGGCUGCAGAAUCAGGAUACAAAGCCACACCAAAGUUUACACUCAGCUACUCUGCAGUGCUGUCUCCUUCACCUAUUUCCAAGGAGAUGUAGAGACGAGGAGACAUACCAAUUAGGAACCCUAAACCAGGAGGUGGCCAUGAGGACAGUACACAAAGUGUCUGCAGAAGCAUCUCUUCACUACUGACAUCCUGACAGCAUCUCUGGCUCUGGACACCUGCUGGACUCACCCUCUGGCUGCAGAGUGCCCUGAAGCUUCCCCGGCAGAAUGCAUUUGAUGUGAUCAGCAGGCUUGAUGCAAUGCUCAGGCCCCAGGAACUUCCCUUCUUCAUGGAGAAGUGAAACUAGAAUCUUCUAAGGGCAGCUGGCCUGUCAUCCGAGUCUCACUGAGGAGUGGCAGGAAGGAGUCUGUGAACCUGCGGCUGUGGCACCUGCAGGACAUCUUUGAUCUGUUGUGGUGUUACUGCCAAGGAGAGCCGAGACUGGUUUUCUUGGCUCUCCCUCUCUUGUCAUUUUAAGAAUAAAAGUGACCAUCUCUCCUGUAUUUCUUCUUUCUUAUU